UCCCCAGUAGCUCAAUUGGCAGAGCGGGUGACUGUUAAUCACUAGGUUCGCGGUUCAAGUCCGUGCUGGGGAGCCA
rnacentral:tRNA from 6 species